rnacentral:rRNA from 1 species
AUAGCCUAACGGCUGAACCAGCAAUUUGGGGGAAUGUAUAGUAUAUACUAAUUGUAUUUUAAAUACAAUAUCGACUAUGUCGAAUAAAGUUCUAGAUAGAAUACUGAUAAUGACAAUUUUCUAUCUAUAUGUCUUGACCAAAUCACGUGCCAGCAGUCGCGGUAAUACGUGGAAGACUAGUGUUAUUCAUCUUUAAUAGGUUUAAAGGGUACCUAGACUGUAUUUCUAGCCCAAAUAGGGUACGGAUUUACUAGAGUUUAAUGUAAGAAGAAAAAAUUAAGAGUGAAAUUUUAAUUUCAUUUUUUGUAGUACUUGAAGUGUAGAGAUAAAAUUUUGUAAUACUUUAAGGAAACUGGUGAUGCGAAAGCAACCUUCUAUGUAUAAACUGACGUUGAGGGACGAAGGCUUGGGUCGCGAAUAGGAUUAGAUACCCUAGUAGUCCAAGCAGAAAAUUAUGAAUGUCAUAGAUCAGAUAUAUUUUGGUUUAUAAAUGAAAGUGUAAGCAUUCCACCUCAAGAGUAAUGCGGCAACGCAGGAACUGAAAUCAUUAGACCGUUUCUGAAACCAGUAGUGAAGUAUGUUAUUUAAUUCGAUAAUCCGCGAAAAACCUUACCACAAUUUGAAUAUAAAAAUUACAAGCGCUGCACGGCUGUCUUCAGUUAAUGUCGUGAGAUUUUGGUUAGUUCCAUUAAAUUAACGUAAACCCUUGCUUUAUUUAUAAUAUUUAUAUAAAGUAGCUCACCGCUAUAUUGGAUAUGAUAAAAGGGAAUAAGACAAGUCAUCAUGGCCUUAAUAUUGUGGGCUAUAGACGUGCCACAUAUGCUUAUACAAAGGGAUGCAAAAACGUGAGUUUGAGCUAAUCCCUAAAAUAGGAUAUAAAU